AUUUAAAGUGGUACGUGAGCUGGGUUUAAAACGUCGUGAGACAGUUUGGUCCCUAUCUGCCGUGGGCGUUGGAAAUUUGAAGGGGGCUGCUCCUAGUACGAGAGGACCAGAGUGGACGAACCUCUGGUGUACCGGUUGUCACGCCAGUGGCAUUGCCGGGUAGCUAAGUUCGGAAGAGAUAACCGCUGAAAGCAUCUAAGCGGGAAACUUGCCUUGAGAUGAGAUUUCCCGGAGCCUUGAGCUCCUUGAAGGGUCGUUCGAGACCAGGACGUUGAUAGGCUGGGUGUGGAAGUGCAGUAAUGCAUUAAGCUAACCAGUACUAAUUGCCCGUACGGCUUGUCCCUAUAACCUU
rnacentral:rRNA from 1 species